CAGCAGCCGCGGUAAUACGAAGGGUGCAAGCGUUACUCGGAAUUACUGGGCGUAAAGCGUGUGUAGGUGGUUGUUUAAGUCUGUCGUGAAAGCCCUGGGCUCAACCUGGGAAUUGCGAUGGAUACUGGGCGACUAGAGUGCGGUAGAGGAUAGUGGAAUUUCCGGUGUAGCAGUGAAAUGCGUAGAGAUCGGAAGGAACAUCUGUGGCGAAGGCGACUAUCUGGGCCAACACUGACACUGAGACACGAAAGCGUGGGGAGCAAACAGGAUUAGAUACCCCGGUAGUCCCUGUCUCUUAUAC
rnacentral:rRNA from 1 species